UGUUGUGAACUCGAAGAGUAGGGCGGGACACGUGGUAUCCUGUCUGAAUAUGGGGGGACCAUCCUCCAAGGCUAAAUACUCCUGACUGACCGAUAGUGAACCAGUACCGUGAGGGAAAGGCGAAAAGAACCCCGGCGAGGGGAGUGAAAAAGAACCUGAAACCGUGUACGUACAAGCAGUGGGAGCACCUUCGGGUGUGACUGCGUACCUUUUGUAUAAUGGGUCAGCGACUUAUAUUCUGUAGCAAGGUUAACCGUAUAGGGGAGCCGAAGGGAAACCGAGUCUUAACUGGGCGUUAAGUUGCAGGGUAUAGACCCGAAACCCGGUGAUCUAGCCAUGGGCAGGUUGAAGGUUGGGUAACACUAACUGGAGGACCGAACCGACUAAUGUUGAAAAAUUAGCGGAUGACUUGUGGCUGGGGGUGAAAGGCCAAUCAAACCGGGAGAUAGCUGGUUCUCCCCGAAAGCUAUUUAGGUAGCGCCUCGUGAACUCAUCUUCGGGGGUAGAGCACUGUUUCGGCUAGGGGGUCAUCCCGACUUACCAACCCGAUGCAAACUGCGAAUACCGAAGAAUGUUAUCACGGGAGACACACGGCGGG
rnacentral:rRNA from 1 species